GACGAACGCUGGCGGCGUGCUUAACACAUGCAAGUCGAACGGAAAGGCCCUGCUUUUGUGGGGUGCUCGAGUGGCGAACGGGUGAGUAACACGUGAGUAACCUGCCCUUGACUUUGGGAUAACUUCAGGAAACUGGGGCUAAUACCGGAUAGGAGCUCCUGCUGCAUGGUGGGGGUUGGAAAUUUUCGGCGGUUGGGGAUGGAUUCGCGGCUUAUCAGCUUGUUGGUGGGGUAGUGGUUUACCAAAGCUUUGACGGGUAGCCGGCCUGAGAGGGUGACCGGGCGCAAUGGGACUGAGGUACGGCGCAGACUCCUACGGGGGGCAGCAGUGGGAAAUAUUGCACAAUGGGCGGAAGCCUGAUGCAGCAACGCCGGGUGCGGGAUGACGGCAUUCGGGUUGUGAACCGCUUUCGCCUGUGACGAAGCGUGAGUGACGGUAAUGGGUAAAGAAGCACCGGCUAACUACGUG
rnacentral:rRNA from 1 species